UGGGGAAUUUUGGACAAUGGGCGAAAACCUGAUCCAGCAAUGCCGCGUGUGUGAAGAAGGCCUUCGGGUUGUAAAGCACUUUUGUCCGGAAAGAAAUCCUUGGCUCUAAUACAGUCGGGGGAUGACGGUACCGGAAGAAUAAGCACCGGCUAACUACGUGCCAGCAGCCGCGGUAAUACGUAGGGUGCAAGCGUUAAUCGGAAUUACUGGGCGUAAAGCGUGCGCAGGCGGUUUGCUAAGACCGAUGUGAAAUCCCCGGGCUCAACCUGGGAACUGCAUUGGUGACUGGCAGGCUAGAGUAUGGCAGAGGGGGGUAGAAUUCCACGUGUAGCAGUGAAAUGCGUAGAGAUGUGGAGGAAUACCGAUGGCGAAGGCAGCCCCCUGGGCCAAUACUGACGCUCAUGCACGAAAGCGUGGGGAGCAAACAGGAUUAGAUACCCUGGUAGUCCACGCCCUAAACGAUGUCAACUAGUUGUUGGGGAUUCAUUUCCUUAGUAACGUAGCUAACGCGUGAAGUUGACCGCCUGGGGAGUACGGUCGCAAGAUUAAAACUUAAAUGAAUUGACGGGGUCAUA
rnacentral:rRNA from 1 species